AUACAAAAUAUUUGGAGGUCUUGUUAAAAUGCAGAUUCCAAUGAAAUGAGCCUGGUGCAGAGCCUGAGACUGCAUUUCUAAGGAGCUCGCAGGUGAUGUGUAC
rnacentral:pre_miRNA from 1 species